UGGUGCAGGUCAAAAAAGGCUUACAAAGCUGAGUGUCCAUGACUUGUACAAGCACCAAUCAAUUCUCAUAUUUUAAGAGCAACCAAAAUAGUCAAAUUUUCGAUGGCCUCACAGUCUGACACGAAGCAGUUUUCAUCCUCUUCGAAAUUUUUGUUGACACAGUGACUCGAAUUCUUAGGCCAAAAUAUUGAUACCCAGCGACCGCAGCCUGGUGCAGACGAAGCCUUGGAGAAGCAUUGGAAGUGUAUUUUUUUCUCUUUCUCUCUCCUCUCUCAAGCUCUUCUCUCUCAACCUUUUCUCCCUUAAAUAUUCCAAGAGCCACCAGCAUUGUCGAAUCGCGAUUUCCUUGGGCAACCCUUAAAAAGGACAACAAAGCUAAUGGAUUACAAAAUGGAAAUAAACCACGCGAUUCUUUUCGAACACAAAAUAAGGACAUAGCAAAACCAAAAUAUGCUUGGAUGCGAAGGGAAAUCAGUACAAAAGAUCUAAGUUCUCUCAGGUUAUCAAAAGUUUUGCUAGUGAAGCAGAUGAUGAGGUAUCAUGUAGGUUAUCUAUAUCGGAUACCAGGCUUUGAAGUUAUAGAUGAUUGUUGGACAGAAGGGGCCGACGAUACCUUUUAGCCGUUUGGAAUUUGGCAAUCGGAGAAGGCUUUCUGAUGUUGUCAAGCUAUGCAUAUUAUGUUUAAUAGUUAACGUUUUCAAGCUAUGCAUAUUGUGUUUAAUUGUUAAACUAUAUAUAUUGUAUUGAAGAUCCAUUAACUAACAAACACAAUAGCUAAGUGAUUGAUAAGGGAAUUUAAAUGACUCUAAUUUUUUGUGAGCAAAUUGUAGAAAUUAUUUUCUGGUUUGUAUAGAAAGACAAAAGUUAUUUGUUUAUUUCUCUCUCUAUCAAAUGGGUCCUCCUU